CCUACGGGUGGCAGCAGUCGAGAAUCAUUCACAAUGGGGGAAACCCUGAUGGAGCGACGCCGCGUGGGGGAAUGAAGGUCUACGGAUUGUAAACCCCUGUCAUGUGGGAGCAAAUUAAAAAGAUAGUACCACAAGAGGAAGAGACGGCUAACUCUGUGCCAGCAGCCGCUGUAAUACAGAGGUCUCAAGCGUUGUUCGGAAGCACUUGGCGUAACGGGUGCGGAGGCUGUUUCGUAAGUCGUGGGUGAAAGGCGCGGGCUCAACCCGCGGACGGCACAUGAUACUGCGAGUCUAGAGUAAUGGCGGGGGACCCGGACUUCUCGGUGUAGCAGUGCAAUGCGUAGAUAUC
rnacentral:rRNA from 1 species